rnacentral:misc_RNA from 1 species
GAAAUGCGAUAAUUAAUGUGAAUUGCAGAAUUCAGUGAAUCAUCGAGUCUUUGAACGCACAUUGCGCCCCCUGGUAUUCCGGGGGGCAUGCCUGUCCGAGCGUCAUUGCUGCCCUCAAGCACGGCUUGUGUGUUGGGCUUCCGUCCCUGGCAACGGGGACGGGCCCAAAAGGCAGUGGCGGCACCAUGUCUGGUCCUCGAGCGUAUGGGGCUUUGUCACCCGCUCCCGUAGGUCCAGCUGGCAGCUAGCCUCGCAACCAAUCUUUUUAACCAGGUUGACCUCGGAUCAGGUAGGGAUACCCGCUCAACUUAAGC